rnacentral:lncRNA from 1 species
UUUAUUAAUUUAUGUAUUCAAUAAACAGUAAAUGAGUAUCUACAGGAAGAGUAUAGAUAUAAGUACACAAAAUAAAAACUCCUGCCCUCAUGGUGCUUCCAUUCUAAAUGUGUAGUGGUCAGCAGAGAUGAAGGUGAAAUGAAUCACAAAUCCAUAAGUGAAAUGUACAGUAUAUCAGAUAGCAAUAAAUAAUAUUACUAAAAAGAAAGAAAGCACAGAAGAUAAGUGUGGAGUGCUGAAAUUUGAAAUACUCUGAUCCGGGAAGGCCUUAUAGAGAAGGCAAUAUUUGAGUAAACAUUUGAAAGAGCAAGUGCAGGACAAAGGUCUAAGAAUAGAGUAAGCAAAUGCAUAGCAAUGGGAGAGGUAAGAUCAAAGAGGUGAGUGGGAGCCAGAUAACCUAGACCAGUGUAAGAACUUUGGUACUAAAUGGAAAAUAUAUCAUUUUUCCAAUAUCCGUGGAUAUUCCAUAUCCAUGGAUAAUUUUGAGCAAGGGAGUAAUAUGGUUUUAUGUGUAUUUCAAAAACAAAAUUAUAGGGUUGCUGUGCUGAAAACAGACUGAACUGGGAAACAAGGCAUAAAGUAGAAGAACAACUAGAAUAUUACCACAAUAAUCAGCGUGAGGAACAAUUGUACUUUGGACCUGAUGAUAUCAACGGAAGGGUGAAAAAUGAUCCAACUGACAAGAUUUGCAGAUGAUCUAUACCAACAGAUGUGUUGUUAAAUUAAUUAUCUUCCUAAACAUAAAGAAGAUAGAAGACCUUUCAGCUACUAUGUCAUCCCAGAUGAUGCCAAUCCAGUCCUACUCCCACAUGGAACUUUAACCACUACUCAUGCUUUCUACAAGCACUGAGGGAAGCCAGAUGCUCCAUGUGAACUGCCUUAGAGAGGGCCAUGCAGCAAGUAGAUGCCUCUGUCCAACAGCCAGCAAAGACCUGAGACCUACCAAUAACCAUAGAAGUGAUCUUGGAAGCUAGUUCUUCUCUGUAGUUGAGCUUUGAGAUGAAUGCAGCUCUGAGUGACACUUUUACUGCAACUCAUUGAAAGACCCAUAUUCAGAGGAUAUAUAACUAAGCUGUGCCCAGUUUCCAGGCCCAUAGAAACGGUUAUCAAAAAGGAGACAAUGUUAUUAUAUUUACAGCUUCACAGAUUUAUAUAUCAAGAGAAACUACCCAAGGAGACUCAUCCACACUUGGAAGAGAUUUAGACAAUGAGAUUCUGGACCGUGAGCAGAUGAGAUAAGACUUUUGAGGAUGUUGGGAGGAGGUGGAUGUAUUUUGUGCAUGGAAAGGAUGUGAACAGCUAGAGGUCAGAAUGUGGACUACCAUGAAAGGCUCUAACGUGAACCCAAAUUUUACUUUUAUCUGAUGGUCACAACUUGUGUAAUCCUCUCCACUGGAGUGUGCAAAGAACUCAUAAUGGUUACCUUGCUUCUAACUAAUAUAAUAAAUACUUCAGUGAUUACAUACAUAAGAUUAUAAAGUGUCUUGCAGGCAACCUCUUUCUUUUUUGCAGGAUUUGUUGAAGGCAGCUACUAUGUUUUGACCUGUCUUAGGGAGACACCAACAUGAGAAGAGAAUGAAGGAGGCUUCCCUUCAACAGCCAGCGAGAAAAAGAGAUUCUCAGGAAUUUAAACAACAAAGAAAGAAGUUUACCAACUAUCACAUGUGCUUGGAAGUGGAGCCUUGCUCAAUUGAGAUUUGAGAUAAGACAACAGCCCAGGCUAACACCUUGUUUGCAGCCUUUUGAGACCUGAAAUAAGGUACUGACUGGUGCAGAGGACGCAGCUAAGCUAUGCCCCCACCCCGACCCACAGAAACCAUGAAAUUACAUGUAUUUUCCAAACCACUAAGUUGUUGGUAAUAUUGUACACAGUAAUAGGAAAGUAAUGAAAUAGGUGUUCAUAUUUUUUUCUAAUAUUUACUCUUAAAAUACUACACAUUAAAGAAAACUUUAACAUGAAUGCUACAUUUUUAAGUUUUUAAGGUUUUCUAAAAAUAUACAAGACAUUUUGUCUAAAGUAAAAUCAGAGGAUAAGUGAAAGGAGAUUUCUCUAUUGAUCAUUACCAAGAGGUUAGCAUCUUGGUAAAUAUCUUAAAUAUUUGAACUAAAAAAUAUACAAAUUGUCUUUUAGGAGAAUUUGUGGUUUUGCUUGGGGUAUUUUUGUUUGUUUGAUUUUUUUUGUUUUUUUUUCUAAAUCAGUACUGUCUUCAAAACAAAUUCAUGUGCUUCUUAGGAAAACCUUACAUAACUCUGACCAAUUACCCCAAAGCAGUGAUUCGUUCUUUGUACACCUUUAGGUGGAGAAGUCUGGAAUGCCAAUGGUAUAAAGAUGAAAUCGAGAUGUGUUAAAAGGAUUGCAUGAAACUUCCUUAAGUAAAAAUGAUGCACGAAACAGCCAUAUUUAUAUUUAUAUUUUGGAUAGCUGUAUUUGCUUGCAACAUUUUCUUAGUGAUCCUGUUUGUGUUUUAGACCCACUCGUCUCCAUUUACCUGUGAGCCCCAUCCCUAGAAGCAGACAUCCAAAGCCCCAGAAAAGAUGGGCUUAUUUCCUGCUCUGUCCCAAGGGCAAAGCUUCCGAGGAGAAGAGCAGCUCAUUGUGAUGAAGUAGCUGCUGCGCUUGAUUGUUACUAGGCAAAAAUAUUGUUUCAAUAUUGUCCUGUUAUCUAAUAAACUUCUCAUGGAAAAGGAGACUGAGAUGCCAACUUUAUUUUUCAAAAAUAUUGUAAGAAAAGCCCCACAUGGCUCUGAAGGGGAU